rnacentral:lncRNA from 1 species
AGAGGAUAUUACUAUUUAACGAAAAGCCCAAUACGAGGUGGAGCUUCAAGAGUCAGGAGGAGUCCAGAGCGAGUUGGAGCUCCAGGUGGAGGUGGAUUGGGCACUAAACUGGAGACUCGAGACGAUGAGAGGUGAUAUCGCAAAGUGAAGUUCCUAUUGCCAUAGGAGACUUUCCUGAGCAAAUCUUUGGUCAGAGUAGACACAGUUUAUGAUGGAGGUGGAAUCGAGCGGCAUAGCUUGAUUCUCAUAUUUGCCCAUCCAUGAGAUAGCGGGCAUGCCCCAGGGUGUGGGGGCG